rnacentral:rRNA from 1 species
GAUGAACGCUGGCGGCGUGCCUAAUACAUGCAAGUCGAGCGAACAGAUGAGGAGCUUGCUCCUCUGACGUUAGCGGCGGACGGGUGAGUAACACGUGGAUAACCUACCUAUAAGACUGGGAUAACUUCGGGAAACCGGAGCUAAUACCGGAUAAUAUAUUGAACCGCAUGGUUCAAUAGUGAAAGACGGUUUUGCUGUCACUUAUAGAUGGAUCCGCGCCGCAUUAGCUAGUUGGUAAGGUAACGGCUUACCACGGCAACGAUGCGUAGCCGACCUGAGAGGGUGAUCGGCCACACUGGAACUGAGACACGGUCCAGACUCCUACGGUAGGCAGCAGUAGGGAAUCUUCCGCAAUGGGCGAAUGCCUGACGGAGCAACGCCGCGUGAGUGAUGAAGGUCUUCGGAUCGUAAAACUCUGUUAGUAGGGAAGAACAAAUGUGUAAGUAACUAUGCACGUCUUGACGGUACCUAAUCAGAAAGCCACGGCUAACUACGUG